AAGAGACGUUGCCCUUCGGGGUAUACCUCCCACCCUUUGUUUAUUAUACCUUUGUUGCUUUGGCGGGCCCGUCCUCGGACCACCGGCUUCUGCUGGUCUGUGCCCGCCAGAGGACCUAAAACUCUGUUUGUUAAUAUUGUCUGAGUACUAUAUAAUAGUUA
rnacentral:misc_RNA from 1 species